ACGCUUGAAGUCAGUCGCGUCGGUCGGAAAUCAACCUUGCUUCUGCUGGGUGUACUUUCUGUCCGAUGGGUCAGCAUCAGUUUUGGUCGCUGGAUAAAGUCCUUGGGAACGUGGCAUCCUCGGAUGUGUUAUAGCCCUCUGACGUACGCAGCGGCUGGGAUUGAGGAAUUCAGCACGCCCUCCGGGGCUGGGGACCCGUCCCACAAUCUAGGUGCUUAGGAUGCUGGCAUAAUGGCUUUAAUCGACCCGUCUUGAAACACGGACCAAGGAGUC
rnacentral:rRNA from 1 species